rnacentral:rRNA from 1 species
GAUGAACGCUGGCGGCGUGCCUAAUACAUGCAAGUCGAGCGAACAGACGAGGAGCUUGCUCCUCUGACGUUAGCGGCGGACGGGUGAGUAACACGUGGAUAACCUACCUAUAAGACUGGGAUAACUUCGGGAAACCGGAGCUAAUACCGGAUAAUAUAUUGAACCGCAUGGUUCAAUAGUGAAAGACGGUUUUGCUGUCACUUAUAGAUGGAUCCGCGCCGCAUUAGCUAGUUGGUAAGGUAACGGCUUACCAAGGCAACGAUGCGUAGCCGACCUGAGAGGGUGAACGGCCACACUGGAACUGAGACACGGUCCAGACUCCUACGGGAGGAAGCAGUAGGGAAUCUUACGCAAUGGGCGAAAGCCUGACGGAGCAACGCCGCGUGAGUGAUGAAGGUCUUCGGAUCGUAAAACUCUGUUAUUAGGGAAGAACAAAUGUGUAAGUAACUAUGCACGUCUUGACGGUACCUAAUCAGAAAGCCACGGCUAACUACGUG